CAGUCGAACGAAGCACUUUAAUCGAUUUCUUCGGAUUGAAAUUUUAGUGACUGAGUGUCGGACGGGUGAGUAACGCGUGGGUAACCUGCCUCACACAGGGGGAUAACAGUUGGAAACGGCUGCUAAUACCGCAUAAGCGCACAGUACCGCAUGGUACGGUGUGAAAAACUCCGGUGGUGUGAGAUGGACCCGCGUCUGAUUAGCUAGUUGGCAGGGCAACGGCCUACCAAGGCGACGAUCAGUAGCCGACCUGAGAGGGUGACCGGCCACAUUGGGACUGAGACACGGCCCAAACUCCUACGGGAGGCAGCAGUGGGGAAUAUUGCACAAUGGGGGAAACCCUGAUGCAGCGACGCCGCGUGAGCGAAGAAGUAUUUCGGUAUGUAAAGCUCUAUCAGCAGGGAAGAAGAAAUGACGGUACCUGACUAAGAAGCACCGGCUAAAUACGUGCCAGCAGCCGCGGUAAUACGUAUGGUGCAAGCGUUAUCCGGAUUUACUGGGUGUAAAGGGAGCGCAGGCGGAAGGCUAAGUCUGAUGUGAAAGCCCGGGGCUCAACCCCGGUACUGCAUUGGAAACUGGUCAUCUAGAGUGUCGGAGGGGUAAGUGGAAUUCCUAGUGUAGCGGUGAAAUGCGUAGAUAUUAGGAGGAACACCAGUGGCGAAGGCGGCUUACUGGACGAUAACUGACGCUGAGGCUCGAAAGCGUGGGGAGCAAACAGGAUUAGAUACCCUGGUAGUCCACGCCGUANACGAUGAAUACUAGGUGUCGGAAGNCACAGCUUUUC
rnacentral:rRNA from 1 species